GCGGGAGUAGCUCAGCUGGUAGAGCGACAGCCUUCCAAGCUGUAUGUCGCGGGUUCGAAUCCCGUCUCCCGCUCCA
rnacentral:tRNA from 1 species